CUCUUUAGCUCGCAGCCGACCCCGGGUAACCUAGGUCCGCCGCCGUCCAGAGAGAGCGCACAACUAUCUCCUCCUCGAUCCUUCCCACCGCCGCCUCCAUGUUGCUCUGUGUUGGUCGAAUCGAAGGGGAGAGUAGAUGAGAGAUGAGAAACAGACGAUGAAGGGAUGACGAGUCGAGCUCAAACAAGGCGCACAGGACGCCGUCGGCCGCCCCUCGACUUCGGCGAUGUUCGAAGGCCACGUUUGGAAUGGUGGGAGGCUGCGCAGUUGGUGCAGAACUAUGGGGGAUUUUCGGGUGUCAGCUGUCACGCGUAAAGAUGCAUGGACUUUCAGUCUAACUUGUAGCGUCGGAUUUUAUUUGAAGGGUAAGAAAUCUGAUAUUUUUCAGGGGCUCAAGCUUUGCUGUAGAGUUCUCAACCUAUAUAUGAAAACAUAUUGUUACUCUUGGAGGUGGUCAUCAAUAUUUCACUGCUUGGACCCUUGAUGCCAAUCUUGAAGAGUUGAUCAUAGAUGUCAUUGCAUUGCAGCUGGAAUGUAAGGUUGGAUUCUUAGUGGAGGCAGAUGAGCUACAACUAAGGCACCUUUUCUUAGACCUUCUGAGUUUGAUUUUUUUUUUUAAGAUGGUUGCACAUAUAAAUGGUUGCUUUAAUCUGAGAAGUGAUUGUAUUUAAAAAAUGAUCUUAAUUCUUUGUGUUCCGAGUCAUGGUGUGAAACAAUCCUGAACAAUACUACGGACCUCAAUAUCGAGAAUAUUUAUAAGUUGUAUGUGAUGUGUGUAUUUACUGUAGGUGUUUGGUGACGAGAGAUGCGAUGAACAUUCUGAACACAUUACUUGCGAAAAAAAUUGGUUCUUAUGAGGGAUGAACAAUUCUUUGGCAUAUCUGAAAUUUCGAUGGCAAAGUGGCACCGGAGUGUCUUAUUUCUGCACCUUCAGGAGGAAUAUCCUGACACAGAAAUGAAUCUAGCUGGACAUAUUUGCAUGCUCGAACAGCUUCUGCGGAAGGAAAAGGAAAAGCUGGCAAGCGAGCUAAUGGAAAUUGCAAGAGAAAAAACAGAAAAUAAAAGGCAGCAAGAGGAACAUUAGCAAACGCCAAAAGCCAGAGUGACAGCAAUCAAGUCACCAGAUAUGAUAGUGGUCCUUUUAAAGAAACGCUGUUCUGCCUUCCCCUGGGUCUCUGAGCAGAAGCAAGCAGGAGGACAACGAGCAGCGCUCUUCUAUCAUUUAAUUUGUUGCAGGUACAAUCGCCAAGUCCUUGGGACUGGAUCUGGGUUUUUCUGGUUCCAGAAUUCCUUGGCAAAGAAUUCCCAAUGAUUGCUAGCCAGGAUAGCUCAGUGGAAUGUCAUAUCCUAUCCAAUAUCCAAAUAUAUGUUAAUAUGGUCGCUUGGGUUCCACGCUUAUGUUUUCUUAAUGAUUCAUGCCAUGCUACUGCCGGCUAUUAUCGUUGUUGUAUAUAUCCUUCAGCUUCUUUAGGUGGUAAAUCCAUAUGUGGAAAUGUAAGCAGACUGUUGCCGUAGUUGUUCCCACAGUCUUAAUGCAUUUCCUAUCUGAUCAAAUGGCAUGUAUAUAGUGUGUAUAAAGCCUGCAAAGGAGAAAUGAUUAUUGACCAUGUCUAGAGUAUGCUUGAUUGUGGGUCUUUUACAAAUUUGGAUAACUUGUUGCUGAUAAUUCAGUAUGAUGUUAAGAACUUC